GUUACUCCUUACCAAUGGCUGCAGCAAUGUGGAGAGUGAUGGUGACAAUUAUUGUGUGUCUCACAGGUUCUUGUCUUGGCCACUGGAGCUGGGCAAACAAUGGGCUGAAAGACAAUGACAGUUGCAGGUCUUGAUCAUCUGUUACGGGUUUGUCCUUGUUCCUUCCCCCAGCUGUCCACUUCUGCUGCUUAUCUUUGGGAUGAAGAAAUGCUCAUCUUCACUGUUGUGCUCACAAGCAGCAGCAAAACC
rnacentral:lncRNA from 1 species